AUUGAACGCUGGCGGCAGGCCUAACACAUGCAAGUCGAACGAGUGGCGGACGGGUGAGUAAUGUCUGGGAAACUGCCUGAUGGAGGGGGAUAACUACUGGAAACGGUAGCUAAUACCGCAUACCAUCGGAUGUGCCCAGAUGGGAUUAGCUAGUAGGUGGGGUAAAGGCUCACCUAGGCGACGAUCCCUAGCUGGUGUGAGAGGCUGACGAGCCACACUGGAACUGAGACACGGGCCAGACGCCUACGGGAGGCAGCAGGGGGGAAUAUUGCACAAGGGGCGCAAGCCGGAUGCAGCCACGCCGCGUGUGGGAAGAAGGCCGUCGGGUUGGAAAGCACUUUCAGCGGGGAGGCGUUACCCGCAGAAGAAGCACCGGCUAACUCCGUGCCAGCAGCCGCGGUAAUUC
rnacentral:rRNA from 1 species